UAAAAUUCUCUCCAGCGAGGAGAGGACCAUGACGGCCAGGCCACGCUUGCUCUGAAAAGCGCCGAGCGUGGAAGGGUGUCUUGGAAUGGGGUCUAAAAGGGAGAACGACAUCCUUAUGACUUGCUUUAGGCUGCUUUCUGGAUGUAUUUUCAGAGCUGGGGAUGAGGAGAGGUUGCGUAAAGGUGCCGGCCUGCUGCUGGCCGGGGCUGGCAGCCUUUCAGCCGCCGCGGUGAUAGGGUCUUGCUAUGUUGCCUCGGCUGGAAUGCAGUGGCUGUUCAUAGACAUUAUCACAGCACACUACAGUCUCAAACUCCUGGACUCAAGCAAUCCUCCUGCCUCAGCCUCCUGAGUAGCUAGGACUACUGGGAUGCACUACUGCUCUUGGCAAAUUAAGGAUUUUGAGAUGGAGAGACUAUCCUGGAUUAUCUGAUGGGCUUAAUCAUUGACAAAGGUUCUUAUAUAAGGAAAAGUCAAUGUGAUAAUGGAAGCAGAUUUGAAGAUGCUGUGCAACUGGCUUUGAAGAUGGAGGACGGGGCCACAAGCCAAGGAUUGUUGGCAGCCUCUAAGCUGGAAGAGGUAAGAAGCAUAUUCUCCUGUGGCACCUCCGGGAGAAAUGCAGUACUGCCUAUACCUUGACUUUAGCCAAGUGAAACUAAUUUUAGACUUCUCACCUCCAGAACUGUAAGAUAAUAAAUUUGUGUUGAUUUAAGACACUAUGUUUGUGGUAAUUGGUUACAGCAAUAGGAAACUAAUAGACCAGGCAUUAUGUUAAGUGCUUUAUAUCAUUAAAGAAAUGUAUACAAAUCCAC
rnacentral:lncRNA from 1 species